AUUGAACGCUGGCGGAAUGCUUUACACAUGCAAGUCGAACGGCAGCACGGACUUCGGUCUGGUGGCGAGUGGCGAACGGGUGAGUAAUGUAUCGGAACGUGCCCAGUCGUGGGGGAUAACGUAGCGAAAGUUACGCUAAUACCGCAUACGAUCUAAGGAUGAAAGCGGGGGAUCGCAAGACCUCGCGCGAUUGGAGCGGCCGAUAUCAGAUUAGGUAGUUGGUGGGGUAAAGGCUCACCAAGCCAACGAUCUGUAGCUGGUCUGAGAGGACGACCAGCCACACUGGAACUGAGACACGGUCCAGACUCCUACGGGAGGCAGCAGUGGGGAAUUUUGGACAAUGGACGCAAGUCUGAUCCAGCAAUGCCGCGUGCAGGACGAAGGCCUUCGGGUUGUAAACUGCUUUUGUACGGAACGAAACGGUGAGCUCUAAUACAGUUUGCUAAUGACGGUACCGUAAGAAUAAGCACCGGCUAACUACGUGCCAGCAGCCGCCGCAG
rnacentral:rRNA from 1 species